rnacentral:lncRNA from 1 species
CUAUCUAAUGGCCGGGAAGACAUCCAAAGAACUCGCCAUAAUUCCAAACCACUGUGCCGCUGUAGCGCAGCACUCCCUCCUCGUCCUCCCUCAAGAACACGGAAAAAGAUCGGGGCUUUUGGGUUCCGGACACCAAGGAUUGGAUAUUUAUUCUGUUUUGCGUUGCUUUGCUUUGACCGGCGCGGCGGUUCUUGAACUUGGGAUGGAGUUGCAGGGGCCGGGCGAGGGGAGGGGAGGCGCCGUCGCCUGAUGUAGAUUUCCCUUUUCCCUUUGCCUGCUUUGUUUAUUCUGGCUCUGGGCGUUCACAUCUCUCGCAGAGCUUUCGUGAUCUGCCAAUUGGAGGCCAUGCGCGCGGGCCAAACAGGUGCUUGCCUUUCUUGCUUUUCAUGAUGUUGAUUUGCUCUUUUGAUGGCUGUGCUCGCCAUGGAUUGAUUGCGUGUGGAGUUGGGUUUUCCUUCGGGGUUUGCGAAUUUGACGGAGGGCAAUUUGGUGGCAGGUUUGCUGUGCGGGAAGAAGUGAUCGCAUUUCGAGGCGGUGGUUUUCGGUGGAG